CCACAGAAAGAUAAAACCAAAAAGCAUCUAGAUCAACACGCUUUCUCUAUUCACAAAGUGAAGACUAGAUAAUUUCAAAGCUUGAAGAUCCAAGCCACUCUGCUCUCUGAACCAGCUAGAAAGGGAGGACUUCAAGGGAAACUGGCUAGGCAAGGUCAGCCUCUUGGGGGAAUCCACCGAGAGUCUUCAAUUAAGGCUCGAGCAAUCUGCAUAGGAGGAGAUGAGGCCCAAUUCCAGGCCAAAAGGUUCCUCGACCCUAAGCUAGCAACCAGGUGAACCACCAUAUUCCCCUCUCGAGGGGUCCAGGUUGAGGAACAAGAGAUGAAAUUAAGACUUAAUUUCUUAAUAUCCUCCACAAUUUGGACAAUCUCACCAUGUUUUCCCCUGUUCUUACGUGCAUCUACCAAGGGGAGGCAAUCAGAUUUCAGGCAAAUACGGUCCAGGCCAAGAUUAUGAGCCAGAAUGAUGCCUUCUCUCAGAGCACUAGCUUCAGCAGUGAAAGGAGAGUGAGAGAAGGUAGUUGUGGUGAGCCCUGCUAUAAGGAUCCCAUGUUCAUCUCUGAUUGCAACUCCUGAGGAGCUAGUCGAAUUCCCCUUUUGAUAACUUGCGUCAGUAUUUACCUUAAGCGAUCCUUGAGGUGGAGGGAUCCAUCUCUUAGGCCCAGGAUUGAAGGAUUGGCCCAGACAUGAGUCACAGCUUCACAGGGGGGUCUUUAUCUUCUAUUUUCACCAGUUGUUGCUUGCACUACUGCUCCAUCUCCAUAUCUUCUUCACUAUCAGUUGGGUCAUCCGAGUUUAUCCAAGCUUCAAAAAAUGGCCCCGAGUCUUUCCUUUUUGUUUAGUCUUAAUUGUGAUUUGACAAAAAAUAAGUCUUAAUUGCGAUCAGGGACGGAGGAAGGAAUCUCAUAUGGGUUGACGAAGAUUAAAAAAAAUGUAAAUAAAGCAUGUGAAAAAAUCAUAUAUAACUAGCAAUUUUUAUAAGCAUAAGAAAUAUAUAAUUAGUUUGAGUACAAAA